rnacentral:rRNA from 1 species
AUUGAACGCUGGCGGCAUGCCUUACACAUGCAAGUCGAACGGCAGCACGGGAGCAAUCCUGGUGGCGAGUGGCGAACGGGUGAGUAAUAUAUCGGAACGUGCCCAGUCGUGGGGAUAACGUAGCGAAAGCUACGCUAAUACCGCAUACGAUCUAUGGAUGAAAGCGGGGGAUCGCAAGACCUCGCGCGAUUGGAGCGGCCGAUAUCAGAUUAGGUAGUUGGUGAGGUAAAGGCUCACCAAGCCGACGAUCUGUAGCUGGUCUGAGAGGACGACCAGCCACACUGGGACUGAGACACGGCCCAGACUCCUACGGGAGGCAGCAGUGGGGAAUUUUUGGGACAAUGGGCACAAGCCUGAUCCAGCAAUGCCGCGUGCAGGAUGAAGGCCUU